UAACGAAUCUUCCCCAAUGCACGAAAGUGUGAGGGAGCGACGCCGCGUGGAGGAUGAAGUCCUUCGGGAUGUAAACUCCUGUCAGGGGUUAGAAAGUUCUGAUCAACCCCAGAGGAAGUGGCGGCUAACUCUGUGCCAGCAGCCGCGGUAAGACAGAGGCCACAAGCGUUAGGCGGAAUCACUGGGCUUAAGGCGUGUGUAGGCGGACCGUUAAGUGCUGUGUGAAAUCCCCCGGCUCAACCGGGGAAUGGCUGGGCAUACUGGCGGUCUUGAGCUGCCUAGGGGUCACUGGAACAAACGGUGGAGCGGUGAAAUGCGUAGAUAUCGGGUGGAACGCCCAAGGUGAAGACAGGUGACUGGGGGCAAGCUGACGCUGAGACACGAAAGCCAGGGGAGCAAACG
rnacentral:rRNA from 1 species